rnacentral:siRNA from 1 species
AGCCUAAGUAGUGUUUCCUUGUU